GGAAUAUUGCACAAUGGACGCCAGUCUGAUGCAGCAACGCCGCGUGGAGGAUGACGGCCUUCGGGUUGUAAACUCCUUUUCUGAGGGACGAGCAAGGACGGUACCUCAGCAAUAAGUCUCGGCUAACUACGUGCCAGCAGCCGCGGUAAAACGUAGGAGGGGAGCGUUAUCCGGAUUUACUGGGCGUAAAGCGCGGGCAGGUGGUGGCUUAAGUCAUGCGUGAAAGCUCCUGGCUCAACUGGGAGAGGUCGUGUGAAACUGGGUCACUGGAGGCAGGGAGAGGUCGACGGAAUUCCGGGUGGAGUGGUGAAAUGCGUAGAGAUCCGGAGGAACACCAGUGGCGAAGGCGGUCGACUGGCCCUGACCUGACACUCAGCCGCGAAAGCAUGGGGAGCGAAC
rnacentral:rRNA from 1 species